GACGAACGUUGGCGGCGUGCUUAAUACAUGCAAGUCUACUGAGGCAGUGUUAUCAAUCUCGCUGUGGAAGGGGCGCACGGGAGAAUAACGCGUAGGUAAUCUGCCUUCGUGUCUGGCAUCACUCCGAGAAACCGGGGCUGAUAGCAGAUGAUGCAGCGGCCCCACAUCGAGCCAGUUGAUAAGACUAUGUCGCCUGAAGAUGAGCCUGCGUCUGAUUAGCUAGUUGGCGGGGUAACGGCCCACCAAGGCAACGAUCAGUAGCUGGUCUGAGAGGAUGAGCAGCCACACUGGAACGGAGACACGGUCCAGACUACUACGGGAGGCAGCAGUAAGGAAUAUUGCGCAAUGGGAGAAAUCCUGAAGCAGCAACGCCGCGUGAGGGACGAAGGGCUUUGGAUUGUAAACCUCUGUAGUGAGAGAAAAAAAUCCCAAUCUUUGGGACAUGAUGGUAUCUCAAAAGUAAGCCCCGGCUAACUACGUG
rnacentral:rRNA from 1 species